rnacentral:lncRNA from 1 species
AUCUCCUCCUCUCAGGUUCACAUAGGGUUGUGAAAUAAUCCUAUGACAUGGUUAAAAAAUAGAAUGUUUCCUGUAGGUGGACCUAACAUUGUGUGUGUGUGUGCAACAUAUUGCCUCAAAUAAGUGUUAUUACUGUGUAUUUGUCAGUAUCAAUGACCAUUUAUCUUCAUAUACUGAGGUUACUAGACGAACCCAGUCUUUGGAGUUCUUGCAGGAAUUUAUGGGUGCUUUUUCUUAACGAUAGUCUCCAGGAAGUCCAACAUUCGCAAAGAAGCUCAAAGGAAUCAGUAAUUCAAGUGUGGUCAGUAUAAGUUAAGUGUGUCUUUGUCACAACGUUGAAGAAGAGGGCUGGACGAGUGUCAGAAUAAACAAUAUCUGUUUCCUCUUUCUCAUCAAUCCUGCUUCAUUACAGACUCACACAGCAUCUCUGAACCGUUGGAUUUUUAGCAACAGAUAAAAUGGUUUUUGCUGUACCACAGAUGAUCCUCCUGAUCUGCCUGCUUCAGUUUUGUACUUGUGCAGUCGGUCAGAAUGUGCACCCAAGAACUCUCAUGAAUAUUGUAAAGAACUUUGAGAAAAAGUUGUCUGGCAUGGGACAAUAUGCUGUCGCAUUCAGAGUCGAGAAGCAAAAAUGUCAAGAUUCCAACUAUGGCGGUCAGGAAUUAAUAACUAGACAAGUGAAAGAAAAACUUAGUAAGAAUGAGGUUUAUGUGAGUGGUGACCUUAUCGCUGCAAGGGCUGAAAAAAAUGACCAAGAGCAUUCAGAGUAUCGCCUGAGGAAUUAUCUGAAGAAUAUCUUGAAUGUAAAAUAUAAAUGUGUGGUUUAUUUCACUGUAAAUUCACCCUGUUUGGAUAAAUGCAUAUCAGAAUCCUGGCAAUUCAGCAUUAGAGGUAAUCUGAGAAAUUUAGAAAAAUAUGAAGGAACUAAAGCCUUUGCAUUCAAAUUAUUUUGGAUACGUGAUGAAAGUGUGGAGGUUAAAAAGAGACUUAAGGAAAUUGCACCUGCUUUGCCAUAUUAUCAUUGUGAGGCAAACAAAGCUGAAUGUGAUCGCCUGUAAGUAGAGCGAUGCUUAUGCUUGACAGUUGCUUUCUUCACAAACAGACAUGGUUUUAUUUAGCUGAGGGUUUUGGUUCUCUUUUAAUUGCAGUAAACAUUACAUUGGCAAAUAAAAUCUGUAAUCUGUAAAAUGCAUAAUUUGUGAUCUUGUGUGCUUGAGUAGUCGCCAACUGUGUUACAGUCCCUGUUUUGUGUUUAAGGACUUAGUGUUUUUGUAAUGUUUUUGCACCUAUUGUUUCUGUGUUCACUUACAUUUACAUUUAUUCAUUUUGCAGACGCUUUUAUCCAAAGCAACUCACAACUGAGAUAUAAAUAAAGUGAUUUUUCUUAAAGAGGCAAACAGACACAGGAAGUGCUUGUAAUUCCAAGUUCUCUCACUAAAUCCUCUGAAGUAGCCCACAUUACAGAUAGGAUGUCUGCCCAGUGCUGGAACAAACAACUGAACAAAUAAAAAUGCAUUUUAUUAAGCAUAAUUUGUGAUCCAAGUAUUAUCUCAUUCAAACACACUCUAGAUGUAAAUCAUUCAAUCAUACGGAGAGGCCAUGUCUAUUUUAACUAUUAUAUCCUUCCAUGAUUUUAUACUUUAAAGCCAUGGCAUGAAUAUGAAAUGUUACAUAUAGUAUUUAGAACAGAUUUAGAUGACACAUAUGGGACCGGAAGUUCAGUGUGACCUCACGUAACUGUUAGAACUGAUAAAA